rnacentral:lncRNA from 1 species
AUAGGUUUUUUUUUUUUUUUGAGAGAGAGAAAGGUAGUAUGUUACUCGCUUCAUUUAUUUUUUUUUAUAAACAAACCUAGCUGGAAAUGUGAAUCAACUAAGAUUCAAAUUUGGAACUUUAGAUAUCAAUUAUCAAAUCCUUUGCCACUUACGAUAGGAACGGUCAGUCAGUUGUCCAAUAGUUAAUUAGCCCUUCUACAAGAAAUCCAUUU